rnacentral:lncRNA from 1 species
GGAAAAAGCUGAAGCUGCUAUUUGUAGCUUUGGAAAACUGGUUUUUUUUCAAAGCACACGGAGUUACAGUGCUUCUUUAAUGAAAAGACCUACUAUUAGACUGCUUUUUUUCCAAAAGCACUUUUACAAAAAAGUUUACCAAACACUCUGCUGAUUUAUUUCACAGCCGCUUAUUCUCACAGCACAGUCGCUUAUUCUCACAGCAGCUUUUUUUCAAAGCACAGCAAUACCAAACCAA